CCAAGUCAGAAACUAGGUCAGAAACCAGGUCAGAGACCCGGACAGGAGCCAGGUCAGAGACCAAGUCAGAGACAUGGACAAGAACCAGGUCAAAGACCAGGUCAGAGACACGGACAGGAACCAAGUCAAAGACCAGGUCAGAGACACGGACAGGGAACCUGGUCAGAAACCAGGUAAGAAACCAAAUUAGAGACACGGACAGGAACCAGGUCAGAAACCAGCACAGCAACCAGGUCAGAGACACGGACAGAAGCCGAGUCAGGAACCAGGUCAGAGACACAGACAGAAACCAAGUCAGGAACCAGUUCAGAGACACGGACAGGUACCAGGUCAGAAAACAGGUCAGGAACCAGGUCAGAGACACAGACAGGGAACCAAGUCAGAAACCAGCACAGAAACCAGGUCAGAAACUAGGUCAGAGACAUGGACAGGAACCAAGUCAGGAACCAGGUGAGAGACACGGACAGGAACCAAGACAGAAAAACAGGUCAGGAACCAGGUCAGAGACACUGACAGAAAACAGGUCAGGAAUCAGGUCAGAGACUAGGACAGGAACCAAGUCAGAAAACAGGUCAGGAACCAGGUCAGAGACCCGGACAGGAACCAGGUCAGAAAACAGGUCAGGAACUAGAUCAAAAACCAGGUCAGAGACACGGACAAGGAACCAAGUCAGAAACCAGGUCAGACUCAUCUUAGACCGUUAUGUAGCGGUGAAAAAAAGAGCCUUUCUGAACAAGCUCAGCUAUAAUAAACUAAAUGACAUGCAGGACAACAUGCAGA